AGAUUGUCGAGUACAAGGUUGUCGAGUUUAGGUGCAGAACACAAAAAUAUAGUUUCUAUAACAAGAUUGUUUACAAAAAACACAUAUAAAAAUAGUCUUUUUUUUGAAACAGUAGGUGGUUUAUAUAAUUAUUAUUACCUAUAUAAAAUCUGAACCCAUUUGCUGAAACAUUAGCAUUUUGGGCACCGUAGAUGGUGCACUUGCUUCCAAUAAAAAAUUGACGCGUUACUCUUUUGCACUGUAGAUGGGUGAUGCUGCGCAUUAGGUCUCCCGCGGAUGUUAGUUUCGUCGUUUUAUUUUUACGUGUUAAAUUCUCUUCCACCGCUUCUUGCCGGUGAUUUUCUAUUUUACAUCCGGUUGCUUCCGGUUUCUCAUGCCUUCUCGUAUUUAUUUACUACACGGUUCCCAGUUUCCCGGUCGCCAGUUAUUGUGCCGCUUCUACCUAUCUCGAGGCGUACUCUUCCGCCUCUUUACGGCCACGUGCCGUGACCCUGGCUUUCCACCGCAGGAGCUUCUCUCCAGAAAUCCAAAUUGUUCUUUUCUCUUGCCCAGAUCUUCCAUCGACAGCUCCACCUCUAUCUAUCCAAAAAUAUAUCUCCAUCUCCAUUGGAUCUCCUAGCUGGGCUCUUCACCACCUACCUGAAACACAGGAGCCCCUACCCGUCGGCCUGCCCCUGUUCAGCGGCCAUGCCUAGGUUCAGUCCUCUCAAGCGUUGCGCCCGACACCGACGCGCUCCGGUUCCCGGUGCAGCUGCUCGCCUGAACAGUGGCCACUAGGCCCACUAUGGUACUGGUACAUGGUGGCGCAUGGCCGCAAUCCCGCACGUGCGAGCGGCAGCGACCGUGGAGUGCAGCGGCGGACCGAGCUCCGCCUUCCACACCCUGUCGCGGCCCUGGAUCCUCCGAGCUUGGGGCACGCGAGGUGGCGUGGCUCAACGGGCGGUCUCAUGUUCUCUGACGGCAACGGCCGAGGAGGACGUCCUCCUGCAGCCGUAUCCCACCUCUCCCCUGUCAACAUCUAGCUUCAGCCGGUUAUCCUCCUCCUCAUUCCUCAGCUCGGUAUCCACCGCCGGGAGUCAUCUACUAUUCUGCGCGAUUUCCUCGCACCUCCCAAGUCCGUCGCCCUGCAGCCUCCGGUCAGACUCGAUGCAGAUGACAUCCGCCGCCGCGUCCUGCUCAGCUGCUCGCCUUGGUUACAGAGAAAACUGCGGUGGCCACCACGAGGUCGAGGGAGAUGGCGACCACGCGCUCUGACGGUGGCCUACUCCACCUCGCCGCCCCUGCCCCGUGGACAGCGUCCUCAACGCCCAGGUGUCAUCUCCUAUGGGCCGGCACCCUCGAGCCAUCCCUGAUGCAGCGGAGCCAUCGACGUGAGACUUUCAGGUGUUUUCCUCUUGGUACCAUUGCUGAUCGGUUCGUCCGUGUGUCCGAGUAACGCCAACGGCCGCGCAGAGCCCCGUCGUCUGAUGUGCAGCGGAGGCGGCCCGGAGAGAUCGGUUCUUCUCCUGGUUUGUCGGCCCUGUUCACGUGUCGCCGGUGUGCUGCUCCACGGGAGACUGACGCUAGGGGCAGUAUUGCGCAGGCAGCGACGCAUCGUGGGUCCGUUGUUUUGGCCCCCGAUGCCAGCACUACAACUGCCUGCUCCGGCUUUUUGAGAGUGGCCUUGACUGGGAGCCGCCCCACCACCGCCGGGAAGGCGACGAGGACGCUCAUGAAGGAUUGCCGUCUUGCCGAUGUGUGUCUCCUCGUGCUUCAAGACGGAAGCAUAGUCUGGAUCUCAUUGGUGGUGGUUUUAGAUGCCAGGGUGCCAAUUUCUUUUGUGCAAAUGAGAAUCUGUGUAUGUUUGACAGGAGGUCAACUGCAUCUUUAUUUUGGUUGAGUUUUUGCAAGAUCACAGGUAAUCGCAUAAUUGUUUUUUUUUUCUAUAGCUCAGUAGUAUUAGUCAUGGGAAGCGAUUCUUCCAUUUUGUUUCAGAAAACAAAGUUAGACAUGUUCAUUGCACUGAUUUCUGAAUAGUAGUAUCUUUUCCGCUUGGGAUUUCCUAAUUCAACAACUAUGUGUGGCCUCCUGCUUUGGCAACAAAUAAAUGGAUCAACCUCCAUGACUCAUCCAUCAAAUGACACUCUAAAACCACCACAAAAUACCAGGAUUUCAGCCGCCACAUCUUCCGAGGACACUAUAGUGAUGGUCUAUUCAGAACUGGGUGAUGUAAACACAUACAAAUUCUAUCUAGGUGUGCAAAAACUGACAUCAAUAUAUCAUCUUAUGUAUUACCAUUCUUUAUAUGCAACGAAACAAACAGAACACUUGACACCAGGAAAAUGAACUCGAGAACAGCUGCUGCACCAGCCAAAAAAAGGUCUACUUUUGAAUCAGCUUCAUUCUUGCGAAGUUGUACUAGCAGCUCAGUGUAUACUCAUUGUCUACAAUCCAACCAAUGAGAAAAAACAAAUCUAAGGAAUUGUGACCAUCCAAAUAGGUAACUACGCCUUGCCAGGUAAAAGAUAUGUUUCAGUAAAUGGUAUAGGUCACAGUAUUUUGACGAAAUGCAGCUUGACUGCUUUCAUUGCGCUUAGAAGAGGGAAAAGUACAAACGGAAGGAGACCUUCCUCAGGUACCAAGUUAGGCCAAAGAAGCCUGGUCACAGUAAAGCAAAUAACAUUAAUUCAAUGCUCUUUUCCUUGCAGCAGAUAUAAGAGUUCGAGAAUGGCACGCAGGCACUGUAAUAUUAGGUACCUUAUAAAACUACUGCUCAGUAUAUGACAUAGGCCAUGUUAUUAUUAGGUGGCGGUUCACGGCAUGGUUUGGGGAGUUCCAUGCAUCGAGCAAAAGCAAGUGACCCCC